CCCGCGUGACCCACACACUCUUAUAUUAGUUGCCGCUAGAUGCUAGAUAGAUCAUAACAAUCUGUUGGGGGGAUUGGGUUGGGUGAUUCGUACCCUCUAUACCACCACGGCGCUGGUGGUGAUUGAGCUCUUUUGCCCGAGUGGCCUACGCCGCGUAAUACAAUCCAACUAAGGUUCAACACCUCUUACAAAAUCAAAGUUAGUAAGCAGGUUGGUAGGAACUGUUGGCCCUAGGCUGCCUAUCACGGACUAGCGCACCGCACAUAUAUGCCUCAGCUGCCUACGGAGUACAUGCUAAUACAACCACUUUGACGUCCCACAGGAACCGCCCUGAAGCUGACCAAACCCUAAGGAUUGACUGAUGUAUACGGAGUAGAGGUGGAAGGUAUGUAUGUUCGCUAGAGGGCUGAGGUUUUUAUUAGCAUCCGGAAUUUCUAAUUUUCCAGGAUGCACUAUUUCUUAUUGGCGCAAGCAAGGGUAAUUCUGUUUUUGGGUAACCAAUCAUUUUCCUUUGAUUUAACUCCUUUGUCAACCAGGAACAAACAGU
rnacentral:sRNA from 2 species